UGGGCGUAAAGCGUGCGCAGGCGGUUUUGUAAGCCAGAUGUGAAAUCCCCGGGCUUAACCUGGGAAUGGCAUUUGGGACUGCAAGGCUCGAGUGCGGCAGAGGAGACUGGAAUUCCUGGUGUAGCAGUGAAAUGCGUAGAUAUCAGGAGGAACACCGAUGGCGAAGGCAGGUCUCUGGGCUGACACUGACGCUCAUGCACGAAAGCGUGGGGAGCAAACAGG
rnacentral:rRNA from 1 species